GUAUUCUAAAUAUUAUCUCUUUUUGUCCAAGGAAGUUAAUUCUUUACUCACAUAAUCAACAAAUAUGCUCAUCAAGCACUAUGUGAGACACUGAUGUUAGAGUGAGAAGAAGAACAAAAGGAUCUCGGCCUCAUGGAUCUUGAACCACGAAGGAUUAAGACUAAAUGGCCUUCCCCAGAAGGAAGGAGUCCCCCAUGGAGUGGAUGAGCAGGGUGGAGUUGGGAAGAUAACACCGACUGGCUCCCCGAAUUCCUAAAUGUGAUGUCCCCUCACUUAAGGAGGUCAGCUCUUUCUACUUAAUAUACUUCUGACAAUAUCAAACUGGAGAUAAACCUCAUUCCCUUUCUCAUGUCACCAAUAUGUGGCCAGAGAAGAAAAAGAAAUUUAAUCUCAGAGGAACUAAAGUCAAAUUCAGAAAUAAUGGUGUUUUAAGAGGUGAGCCCAUCUUAUUCCACACAAAUGGCUACCUCAAGUUAGUGAAAAAGACAGAAAAGGGAGACAGAAAAUGUGUGCAGACCUGGAGAAAGGCGAUACAGAUUUAACACUUCAAGAGUCCUGGAAAGAGUACUACAGCAUCCUGUCCAGUGUGAGGUCAAUUGAGAAAUCCUGGGCCAGUGUUGCUCUAAGGACACUGAGAUCUGCCUUUGUGCAGGAGAGAGACUUUGAAGGCUGUGUGAUCAAUUUGAGUUACAACCAUC
rnacentral:lncRNA from 1 species